rnacentral:rRNA from 1 species
GGCUCAGAUUGAACGCUGGCGGCAUGCCUUACACAUGCAAGUCGAACGGCAGCACGGGAGCAAUCCUGGUGGCGAGUGGCGAACGGGUGAGUAAUGUAUCGGAACGUACCUUCAGGUGGGGAUAACGUAGCGAAAGUUACGCUAAUACCGCAUAUUCUGUGAGCAGGAAAGCAGGGGAUCGCAAGACCUUGCGCCGAUUGAGCGGCCGAUAUCAGAUUAGCUAGUUGGUGAGGUAAAGGCUCACCAAGGCGACGAUCUGUAGCGGGUCUGAGAGGAUGAUCCGCCACACUGGGACUGAGACACGGCCCAGACUCCUACGGGAGGCAGCAGUGGGGAAUAUUGGACAAUGGGCGAAAGCCUGAUCCAGCAAUGCCGCGUGAGUGAUGAAGGCCUUAGGGUUGUAAAGCUCUUUACCAGGGAUGAUAAUGACAGUACCUGGAGAAUAAGCUCCGGCUAACUCCGUG